rnacentral:lncRNA from 1 species
GUUUUAUUAAGAUAAGCUAACUGAGCAUCAGCUUCAUAGGGAGCAACAAUACAAUCAACUCCUCGGGCUCGUGCAGCUUUAAUGACUUCGUGAGCCAUAGCAUGCGUAACAUUUACACUGCGAGCAAAACAGUCCCGUGCUUCUGAAAGUUUCCCUUCCCGAAACAACUGUUUUCCUUUCAGAAGGUUGGCUUGACGCUUCUCUCUUCGGGCCUUCUCCACUUCCUUUUUAGAAGGUAGGGUGCAUCCAUCAAAUACCAAAACUGGUUUAAUUCCAAACGAGAGGAGCAUAUCAACGAGUUUCAUGCAGAAAACUACAUAAUGGUCCGUCGGCUCCCCCCUGGCCAGCUUCUCGGCGCAGCCAUAGGAGCCUUUGUGCAGCCAGCAGUACGCGUCCACGGCCACCGCCUGCCCGCGGUACUUCUUCACGUGGGCGGGCUCCGCGGCCUCCUUGAUGAACUGC